rnacentral:other from 1 species
GAUUUCCUGAGAUGCGCGUUUUUUCUAUUGUUUUAACCCACAGCUUGAACACGGGAAUCCGCGUUUGCAGGCAGAUAACAGGCCCCUUAUCAGGGGGAAGUUAGAAGUCAGCAACAGGUAUCCCACCUGCCUAGGGGCGGGUAUUAAAAUAUUAGGAAGACGGCAUCUUGGGAAUAUU